rnacentral:rRNA from 1 species
AUACGGAGGGUGCAAGCGUUAUUCGGAAUCACUGGGCGUAAAGGACGCGUAGGCGGGUUUGUAAGUCAGGUGUGAAAUCCUACAGCUUAACUGUAGAACUGCACUUGAAACUACAGACCUAGAGUAUGGGAGGGGCAGAUGGAAUUAGUGGUGUAGGGGUAAAAUCCGUAGAUAUCACUAGGAAUACCAAAAGCGAAGGCGAUCUGCUGGAACAUAACUGACGCUAAGGCGUGAAAGCGUGGGGAGCAAACAGGAUUAGAAACCCUAGUAGUCC